CAUUGUACUGAUAUUUAUGAAUUGUUAUAGGCUUUAGAUAUCGUAAAGCAUUCAAGAAAUCUCCUGGGCGAAGAUAAAAGGAAAUCAGGAAGUAUAAAAGAUAAAACCUCUCGAAGAGGAUCUAGGGAAUCUUUAGACAUGUCUUUUGAAGCUGAUGAGAAAGCUUCACACAGAAAAUGUUGAGCUAUGAAUUUUAUAAGAAACUUGUAAGGAUUUGUCAGAUGAAUGUGAUUGGUUUUUGGAUGGAGAUGUCGGUGUAUCUUAUAUGACUGUUAAAACAUCAACAAGACCCAUUGACUGUCCUAUAGUUAAAUCAUACAUUCCUGAAAGAUAAUUGUAGUUUGACUUCAUCAAGAUUUCGUAAUACUUUCUGAAGUCACUGAACUAGCUUAUUGAUAAUGAACACUGAUGAAAUAUUUGUAUUUAUAAUGAAUGUGGUAUUGUUUUUUAAAAUUAACAUAUAUACUUAAAAUAGAAAGGUAAUCAAAAAUGUUACAGUGCUUCAUGACAUACCUAUUGAAUAUAGAUAUAGAUAUAACUUUAAUUAUCUCCCACUUUUUGUUUCAAUUUGCACAAAUAACAGCUUGACACACUCUUUAAGAAAUGUUUCAAAAAAACAUUUAUAGACAUUCAAGAUUAAGGGAAAGAGAAUUGUAUUUGGGAAAAUAAUUGCUUUAAUAAAUUAUUAUGAAUUA